GUAGGUGAACCUGCGGAAGGAUCAUUAACACGUAUCCAACGUUAAAAAUCCGCUAACGAUACCCAUGGUUGCAAUCCCUGGUAAAUCAUUGCCGAACAGUUUUGAUUCAGGGACAUCAAGCACGUUAGUGUCCUGAUAAAAGAGGCGCUGCAACAGACGGGUUCCACGACCCCAAGGAGUCAAAAGCUGUCAGCGAGUGGCAAGUGAGGGAGUCAGUGUUCAACCUGAUUGUCAUCUUGUAAGUUGAGAGUGUCUUUUGAUUUUGAACGGGUAGACCACCCCAGGUGGGUCACUGUGGCCGACACGGCCGUGAUGGGAUUCUGGCGUCGUGCCUAUAGGUACGAACUAGCGCCCGACAUGACCUCUUGAAACGACAGGGGCGUAACCGGACCAAAUUUUUAAUCUGCCCCUUACCCUAACAGGUACUCGGGUGUCAAACGAACAACUGUUAACAAUGGAUAUCUUGGUUCUC
rnacentral:misc_RNA from 1 species